UUACGGCCAUAUCACGGUGAAACAUCAGUUCCCGUACGAUCACCGAAGUUAAGCUAUGUCGUGCCUGGUCAGUACCUAGAUACGUAACCGCUUGGAAAUACCGGGUACU